rnacentral:rRNA from 1 species
CCUACGGGUGGCAGCAGUGGGGGAUAUUGCACAAUGGGGGAAACCCUGAUGCAGCGACGCCGCGUGUGGUAAGACGGUCUUCUGGAUUGUAAACCACUGUUCCCAGGGACGAAAAUGACGGUACCUGGGGAGGACGCUCCGGCAAACUACGUGCCAGCAGCCGCGGUAAUACGUAGGGAGCACGCGUUGUCCGGAAUUACUGGGUGUAAAGGGAGCGUAGGCGGGGAUGCAAGUUGGGUGUAAAAACUACCGGCUCAACCGAUAGUCGCACUCAAAACUGCAACUCUUGAGUGAAGUAGAGGCAGGCGGAAUUCCUAGUGUAGCGGUGAAAUGCGUAGAUAUUAGGAGGAACACCAGUGGCGAAGGCGGCCUGCUGGGCUUUAACUGACGCUGAGGCUCGAAAGUGUGGGGAGCAAACAGGAUUAGAUACCCUAGUAGUC